rnacentral:rRNA from 1 species
UACAGAGGGUGCAAGCGUUACUCGGAAUUACUGGGCGUAAAGCGUGCGUAGACGGUUAUGUAAGUCAGGUGUGAAAGCCCAGGGCUCAACCUUGGAAUUGCAUUUGAGACUGCAUAGCUAGGGUGCGGAAGAGGGAAGCGGAAUUUCCGGUGUAGCGGUGAAAUGCGUAGAUAUCGGAAGGAACACCAGUGGCGAAAGCGGCUUCCUGGUCCGACACCGACGUUCAGGCACGAAAGCGUGGGGAGCAAACAGG